AUUAAACUUCCCUUCGGGAAGAUAUAAAGUGGCGCACGGGUGAGUAACACGUAGGUAAUCUACCUUUGAGUGGGGAAUAACAAUCGGAAACGAUUGCUAAUACCGCAUAAUGCAGCGGCACCUAAUGGUGACAGUUGUUAAAGGAGCAAUCCGCUUAAAGAGGAGCCUGCGGCAGAUUAGCUUGUUGGUAAGGUAAUGGCUUACCAAGGCUACGAUCUGUAACCGACCUGAGAGGGUGGUCGGUCACACUGACACUGAAUAACGGGUCAGACUCCUACGGGAGGCAGCAGUCGGGAAUUUUGGGCAAUGGGCGAAAGCCUGACCCAGCAACGCCGCGUGAAGGAUGAAGUCUUUCGGGAUGUAAACUUCGUAAGAAUGGGAAGAAUAAAUGACGGUACCAUUUGUAAGGUCCGGCUAACUACGUGCCAGCAGCCGCGGUAAUACGUANGGACCAAGCGUUGUUCGGAUUUACUGGGCGUAAAGGGCGCGUAGGCGGCGAAUCAAGUCAGCUGUGAAAUCUCCGAGCUUAACUCGGAACGGUCAGCUGAUACUGUUUUGCUAGAGUGCAGAAGGGCAACCGGAUUCUUGGUGUACNGUGAAUGCGUANAUAUCAAA
rnacentral:rRNA from 1 species